rnacentral:rRNA from 1 species
AGAUUGAACGCUGGCGGCAGGCCUAACACAUGCAAGUCGAGCGGUAGAGAGGUGCUUGCACCUCUUGAGAGCGGCGGACGGGUGAGUAAUGCCUAGGAAUCUGCCUAGUGGUGGGGGAUAACGUUCGGAAACGGACGCUAAUACCGCAUACGUCCUACGGGAGAAAGCGGGGGACCUUCGGGCCUCGCGCCAUUAGAUGAGCCUAGGUCGGAUUAGCUAGUUGGUGAGGUAAUGGCUCACCAAGGCGACGAUCCGUAACUGGUCUGAGAGGAUGAUCAGUCACACUGGAACUGAGACACGGUCCAGACUCCUACGGGAGGCAGCAGUGGGAAUAUUGGACAAUGGGCGAAAGCCUGAUCCAGCCAUGCCGCGUGUGUGAAGAAGGUCUUCGGAUUGUAAAGCACUUUAAGUUGGAGGAAGGUUGUAACUUAAUACGUUGCAACUUGACGUUACCGACAGAAUAAAGCAACCGGCUAACUUCGUGCCAGCAGCCG